rnacentral:misc_RNA from 1 species
AAGUCGUAACAAGGUUUCCGUAGGUGAACCUGCGGAAGGAUCAUUAACACGUAUCCAACGUUAAAAACCCCGUGAACCUUUAUCGCCGCUCCUCAUGGCUAAGUCUUGGAUAAAGCCAACACAGCAAUCCCUGCACUCGUCGAGAAAUGUAAAGAGGAGGGACCUCUGUUUGGUAGAGCACUGUGGGUUUGAGCGCUUGGUAAGGUGGCUUGCUUUUCCCCAAGCAAUCAGUGAAUGACAGUGUUACUGAUUGUCUAAGGAUUUCGCUUAACGAUCACUAGAGGUCGAUUACCGACCGGUGGAACAAGUCACAGGGCUUCGGCCAUGCAACGGCUCAUGAAUACGAUAUACGUAAUGCUGAACAACUCUUAGCAAUGGAUAUCUUGGUUCUC